GACGAACGCUGGCGGCGUGCCUAAUACAUGCAAGUAGAACGCACAGUUUAUACCGUAGCUUGCUACACCAUAAACUGUGAGUUGCGAACGGGUGAGUAACGCGUAGGUAACCUGCCUGGUAGCGGGGGAUAACUAUUGGAAACGAUAGCUAAUACCGCAUAAUAUUGAUUAUUGCAUGAUAAUUGAUUGAAAGAUGCUAUUGCAUCACUACCAGAUGGACCUGCGUUGUAUUAGCUAUUAGGUGAGGUAACGGCUCAACUAGGCGACGAUACAUAGCCGACCUGAGAGGGGGAGAGGCCAAAAUGGGAAGGAGACAAGGCCCAGACUCAUACGGGAGGCAGAAGUAGGGAAUCUUCGGAAAUGGACGAAAGUCUGACCGAGCAAAGACGCGUGAGUGAAGAAGGUUUUCGGAUCGUAAAGCUCUGUUGUAAGAGAAGAACGGGGGUGAGAGUGGAAAGUUCACACUGUGACGGUAUCUUACCAGAAAGGGACGGCUAACUACGUG
rnacentral:rRNA from 1 species